GAAGGACUCAAUUGUUCAGGCUCGUGUGUCUCCCUCCCCUCGCCGCCUCACAUCAUCAUCAGCACAGACGCACCAAGGCUGUAGUGAUAGUCUCCCCGGAGACUAUCAGUGUUUUGAUCAUCUCCCUGGAGACUAUCAGCACACUGAUAGUCGUGAGCACCAUUCAGCGACGUCCACUCCCAGGCAGAGCCGUGCCGCCCUAAAGAAGAGUGUCCGCCCACCACGCCCGUGACCACCUCACGGAACACUGCCACGGCGAGGAGAGUGUGUCAGACCAUCACAGCCCCUCAACACCACCACCACCACCACCACCACCAGCGUCAUGGAGGCUGCAGGGAGGGGCGGCAGGAGACAGGUGAAGAAAAUGAACACUUCCGGCAGCCCUGCGGAGUGUCCAGUGUGCAUGACAGGCUAUGAUGGCACCGUGCAGCGGCCGCGCACCCUGCCCUGCGGCCACACUGUCUGCACGCUGUGCAUAGAUCAGCUGAAGGUGCAGGGCCGUGUUGCCUGCCCAGAGUGCCGCGUCAGCCACGCCGUGCCCGAGGGAGGGCAGUUCCCUGUCAGCUAUGCUGUUGAGGCCCUCAUAAGAAUGAUGAGAGACGCUGAGGUGGCAGCAGCAGCAGAAGCCUCGCCGCCACCCAGUGCCGGGGAAGGGAAAGGAGCAGCAGCAGCAGCUGGCAAGAAGGAGGCGGCGGGUCUCUCCAAGAAAAUGCGUUCCUUCCUGCAGGAACAGGAGGCCACACUUGUGGCCGCCAUCACCGCCUGCCGGGAGGCUCAGUCGCAGCUGGACCAGUACCAGACGACCCUGGCAGGCUGGCGCGAGCGGCAGCAGCAGCUGGAGGACAGGCUCCUGGGACUGGUGGACCAGAGCAGGAGUGCCAGGGAGCUCCUGCAGCAGGAAGAGUCCCGUGCGGCGGCCAAGGAGGAGGAGCUGAAGAAGGGGGAGCAGGGAAUGCAGGCCGUGCUGGAGACGCUGCGCACCCUUACAACAGAGCAAGAAGCAGGUGCGGUGGUGACUGAAAUGUUUCGUUGUACUGGCGAGGCGGAGCAGGCGGUGGAGGAGUGCCGAGAAGGUUUUCCUGAUGCCAGCACCGUCACCACCGCCAGGAAGGUGAACGAGGCAUCUAGUGCAGCCCUGGAGGCUGUCCAGGCGGCUCUGGAAACACUUGCUACAGAGGAGCCCAGGCCCCAGGCAGACCCAGACUCCACCGUCUUGGACAGACUGCACCUCAUCUGGACAGGGAGCUUGACGGCCGAGGACCUCCGCAGCCUGACGCAGCCCGUCAGGCGCCUGCUGGAGGCUGGCCGGGUGUUUGCUGUCCACCAGGCGGAAGGUCAGCGCCGACACGCAAGAAUAAGCCUUGAAGCCGGCCAGCUGUGCCUCCACGCCCUGAAGGACCUUCCCCCGCCACGGUGCGCGGCAACCCUGCAGGUGAGCGAGGUUGUGCCGCCCUCCCCCCCCUGCACGGUGUUCCUGGACCUGUCCUGGCCGGGCAGCGCGCCGCGGCGGGUCCAAAUCCGUCUGAGCCCCGACACCCCGUGGGGCAGACAGUUCAUACUGUUGUGCACGGGGCAGCGCGGCCCCUCCUACGUUAACACCAGGUUGUUAGGGGUGGUGAAGAAAGGGGAGGCGGGAGAGUAUGUGAAGGGCGGGGACUACGAGAGUAACGAUGGUAAAGGAUCAUGCGUCCUGCUGCCUGGCCUUGGUGAGGGUGAGUACCGGAAGUCAGGCCGGGCGGGGGAUGUGUGUGGGGUGGUGUGGACUGACCCUACCCGGGGUGAGUGUGGUCGGUUUGGCAUCAACACCAGAGACCGUCAGGAUGGUGGUGGGUCGCCUCGUGUCUUCGGUGAGGUGGUGGACGGACUGCACGUGGUGGCCGAGGCAGCCCAACACAGGGACAUUAAGGAGGUGACUGUGGCGGACUGUGGCGUGGUGUUGUGAGGGUAAUGGCCACCACCACCACCACCACCACCACAGCAAGGUUAUGGAGGUGACUGUGGCGGACUGUGGCGUGGUGUUGUGAGGGUAAUGGCCACCACCACCACCACCACCACAGCAAGGUUAUGGAGGUGACUGUGGUGGUGUUGUGAGGGUAAUGACCACCACCACCACCACCACCACCACAGCAAGGUUAUGGAGGUGACUGUGGCGUGGUGUUGUGAGGGUAAUGGCCACCACCACCACCACCACCACCACAGCAAGGUUAUGGAGGUGACUGUGGUGGUGUUGUGAGGGUAAUGGCCACCACCACCACCACCACCACCACCACAGCAAGGUUAUGGAGGUGACUGUGGUGGUGUUGUGAGGGUAAUGACCACCACCACCACCACCACCACCACCACAGCAAGGUUAUGGAGGUGACUGUGGUGGUGUUGUGAGGGUAAUGGCCACCACCACCACCACCACCACCACAGCAAGGUUAUGGAGGUGACUGUGGUGGUGUUGUGAGGGUAGUUUUUCGUUGCUUUCUUGUAACAUUCGGGGUGAUAUUUUCCGUGAGGUUUCGUGCACUGUUUAAACACGAUGUAAUGUGUUAGUUUCUUGGGCAUCCUUGUACCGGACAGUGUGGUGUUCUGUGCAUUACAUAUAUACUGGGUGUAAUGUGUUAGUUUCUUGGGCAUCCUUGUACCGGACAGUGUGGUGUUCUGUGCAUUACAUAUAUACUGGGUGUAAUGUGUUAGUUUCUUGGGCAUCCUUGUACCGGACAGUGUGGUGUUCUGUGCAUUACAUAUAUACUGGGUGUAAUGUGUUAGUUUCUUGGGCAUCCUUGUACCGGCCAGUGUAGUGUUCUGUGCAUUACAUAUAUACUGGGUGUAAUGUGUUAGUUUCUUGGGCAUCCUUGUACCGGCCAGUGUGGUGUUCUGUGCAUUACAUAGAUACUGGGUGUAAUGUGUUAGUUUCUUGGGCAUCCUUGUACCGGCCAGUGUGGUGUUCUGUGCAUUACAUAUAUACUAGGUGUGAUGUGUUAGUUUCUUGGGCAUCCUUGUACCGGACAGUGUGGUGUUCUGUGCAUUACGUAAAUAUACUUGAUGAAAA